GAUGAACGCUGGCGGCGUGCCUAAUACAUGCAAGUCGAGCGAACAGAUAAGGAGCUUGCUCCUUUGACGUUAGCGGCGGACGGGUGAGUAACACGUGGGUAACCUACCUAUAAGACUGGAAUAACUCCGGGAAACCGGGGCUAAUGCCGGAUAACAUUUAGAACCGCAUGGUUCUAAAGUGAAAGAUGGUUUUGCUAUCACUUAUAGAUGGACCCGCGCCGUAUUAGCUAGUUGGUAAGGUAACGGCUUACCAAGGCAACGAUACGUAGCCGACCUGAGAGGGUGAUCGGCCACACUGAAACUGAGACACGGUCCAGACUCCUACGGGAGGCAGCAGUAGGGAAUCUUCCGCAAUGGGCGAAAGCCUGACGGAGCAACGCCGCGUGAGUGAUGAAGGUCUUCGGAUCGUAAAACUCUGUUAUUAGGGAAGAACAAAUGUGUAAGUAACUGUGCACGUCUUGACGGUACCUAAUCAGAAAGCCACGGCUAACUACGUG
rnacentral:rRNA from 1 species